rnacentral:lncRNA from 1 species
UCCUAUAGAUUUUGUAGUGAAUCCACAAUAUGCGGUCGUCACUGUCUCUGUUCUUACAGGCUGUACACAAAAGAGCUCACCUUAAACAAGCUGCAGGUGCAACAGGAAGUGAAGACUUUGUCAAAGAACAUCUGCAGAUGUUCUCCUGCUGUUUUAGAUCAUACAGCUCAUCUCCUUGCAAAUCUCAGUGAGACGGUUUUCAGUUCAGGAAAUUCUUCAUUCUGCUGUAUAAAAUGACUUCAGGAGGAAAUUCUUUGACAGCUGCAGUGUUGCUGUUAAUCGUGAUGAAAGUCUUCAGUGUCCUCACUAUCUCGUGUCCUUCAACAAUGUAUCAAGCACAAGAAGACCUAUGCUGUCCAAAGUGUCCUGCAGGAAAUCGAGUCAAGACAGAUUGCACAAAGACUGCAAACACUUCCUGUGUGGCCUGCGAGGGUGGAACCCACAUGGAUAAGCCCAGUGGACUCAAACAAUGCACUCACUGCACAAUCUGUGACCCAAGUAGGUUUUUAUUUAUGAAACUGCUGUUAAUGCCAUGUAAGAAUUAAGACAGUUAAAGAUGGUA